UCACUAUCAGCAAAGAAAGAAAGAAUGGAUGAAAGACUGGAAAUAAAAACAAACGGACUGACUGGUAAAAGAUGACAAGACUUGACCAUGACUCAAGGUUAACCACCUCCACCUAGAUAGGAUAAAAGGGUGGAUGAAUUUAUGUGUGUUUCUUUUACAGGAGUAGAAGGAUGACAAAAUAUUCGAGGAUGAGUGAACCUGUAAAUGCCAUUUUUGUGUCUUGUGUUGCUUACAGAGGUAACUGCGCAGCGUUACCAUUUACAUUUUCUUCCCUACAGGGUUACAGUUUUAAUGUUUUUCUAUUACAGGAUUUCUGGGCGGAUGUGUGAAGAAACGGUGUUUAUGGGUUAGGAGUGGGGGAUGUUAUUACACUGUAUUCUGGUGAGAGUGUUGGGGGAGACACACCCUGUCUUGAAAACUGUGAUUCUUUUACAGGAAAUGUUUUUAUAGCACCUAUGGAAUGAGGAUGGCUGACUACGGUCAAUGUGCUGCUGAUGUUUGCUUUGCUUUGGUGAGAGGGGUGCAGUAGAAAACAGACAAGUGACAUGAAAACAAGUAAUAAUAACAAAUAACAAAUUUGGGGACAGGUUAACCUAGAGCCCACUAACUGGCCAUUAGGGGCUCUCUCUCUCUUGGAAUAACAUUGCCCAAAGGGUGAAUAAAGCAAAUUCUGGCAAUAAUAGUGGUUUAAUGAUUGGAGAAAUCCUGAACAUGAUACUUGUCUGUUGUGCUGAAUCGUUUAUUACUCUUAUGAUUUGCAGGUGGGACCAUGAAGAUUUUUUGGUACAGAUUGCAGGUUGUUGCUCAUUAUUGAAGUGUGCUCAUAAAGGUAAAAGCUAUAUAGGGGGUAUAUCAUUUGGUCUGUGUUUUAAUAAUUUAGGUAUGGCAAAAUUAAAGGUUUCUAGACAAUUUAGGGAACGAGUGAGAAGCAUAAUUAGAUGAUCAGAAACUGAGGACUACACUCAUGUUAGAAUUGAGAAUGCCCAAUUUGUUUGAGGUCUGUUGUUCGUUUUUAUACACACCUUGCAAAUGUGCUUAUAAGGAGCUGGCACGUAGUCUGGGAAGGUCAAAAGCUUCAUCCGACAACGGAUCGGAUUGAUAUAUUGGUGCUAUUGACUUCACGUGCAGAGGGUUAAAUGCAUGCCCGCUUACACACAUAAGCAUGGCAUAGGAUUGGAAUAAACAAAGUCAACGACAUUAGGUUAGGAGAGCCAGCGCAGGAGAGGUGUUGGCUUUCUGUCUCUUGCAGAGAAGGGAACAAACACCAGACGGGGACACGGAGAUAUGGGGACCCUUCACAGCAACUGGGGUCAAGUGUCAUGGCCUUGGGGCUCCUUGAUAAGAUGGAUCCCAUAACCACAAGCGAUAACCAGGAAGGGGUUGGCGAAACCUAGGAACACCAGAGACCAACGUGGUUCGAGAGGCUUUUGGCAAAAAGGGGGACACGGCGGUCACAACGGACAACAAACACACAGAUUUGUGUAGCGACUGAAGGGUGGUCUAACCCCGGAAGUCGAAGAAAGAAGAAUCCGAGGGCGUUUCUUCACUCCAAGAGGAGGUGGUAAAGGGGCCUGAAGCGUGUCAGGCUGAAACUCGAGUCCGAAGCUAAAAGAACAGCUGGGUUGUGGGAAAUUUGGAAAACAACGGAGGUGUUGGGAUUGAUAAGUGUCAUAACGUGUUUGUUUGGUUUGGUAAUAAAUCCUGGUGUGAGUUGGGCUGGCAAGCCAGCCCAAAGAGGAGGAAUGUGACCAGGAGAUAUUUUAUUUUGUAUUCUUAUGAUCACAGUUAUAAUCAGAAGUAUCAAUCAUUAAUCAUUUACCAUUGUUGAACCAGUUGACAGAAUAAUCUUUGAACCAUAUCUAGGUUAACAUUAAUCUACACAGAUUAUCAGUACUCUAAUCAGUCUAUUGUUGUUCUGUACUACUCAUGUUAUUUGCUUAAAGCUGUUUCACAGUUCUGUAAUCACUCAGAAGCCUGUGGGGCCUGCUGGACCCUGCCUUGGUUCUAUGUUCCGUUCUGCACGUACACAGGCCUUGAAAGUACAUGCACGCUCUUAUACAACACAUGAAUGUGUACACACACCCUUAGUAAGAAUAGGAGGGUUGUCUGAGGACAGUUUUCUGACAGAUAUACUUUCACAAAAGGCACGAAUGUAAUACACACUUGUUUUCUCUAACAACUAGCAGUUGAUGUCCAUAUUAGGUAAACUCUCUGAACAGGCCCAAAACUGUUAUCAUUUCCAGUAAGGUCUGACUGUGUUACGUCAUCAUGGGAUCAUGGGUUAUAUAAGGAUGGGGAGCGGUCCACUCUUUGGAGAUCUGUGGCUGUACGCUUGUCUUCCCAUGCUUCUGUCUUAGAAGUGUGCAAUAAAAUCACUAUGUUUGUCACCUA